GGGAUUGCCCUAGUAACGGCGAGUGAAGCGGCAACAGCUCAAAUUUGAAAUCUGGCUUCGGCCCGAGUUGUAAUUUGCAGAGGAUGUUUAUGGUGCGGUACCUUCCGAGUUCCCUGGAACGGGACGCCACAGAGGGUGAGAGCCCCGUCUGGUUGGAUACCAAACCUGUGUUAAACUCCUUCAACGAGUCGAGUAGUUUGGGAAUGCUGCUCUAAAUGGGAGGUAAAUCUCUUCUAAAGCUAAAUACUGGCCAGAGACCGAUAGCGCACAAGUAGAGUGAUCGAAAGAUGAAAAGCACCUUGAAAAGGGGGUUAAACAGUACGUGAAAUUGUUGAAAGGGAAGCGUUUAUGACCAGACUUGUGUCGUGUGGCUCAUCCGAGGUUCUCCCCGGUGCACUCCACGCGGCUCAGGCCAACAUCGGUUCUUGUUGGAGGAUAAGAACAGUAGGAACGUAGCUCUCCUUCGGGGGAGUGUUAUAGCCUAUUGUACGAUACUCUGACGGGGACCGAGGACCGCGCUUCGGCUAGGAUGUUGGCGUAAUGGUCAUUAGCGACCCGUCUUGAAACACGGACCAAGGAGUCGUCCAUUAGAGCGAGCGUUUGGGUGUAAAACCCGCACGCGUAAUGAAAGUGAAAUUAGGUGAGAGCUUCGGCGCAUCAUCGACCGAUCCUGAAGUUUACGGAUGGAUUUGAGUAAGAGUUUUAACGGACGGACCCGAAAGACAGUGAACUAUGCUUGAAUAGGGUGAAGCCAGAGGAAACUCUGGUGGAGGCUCGCAGCGGUUCUGACGUGCAAAUCGAUCGUCAAAUUUGAGCAUGGGGGCGAAAGACUAAUCGAACUGUCUAGUAGCUGGUUACCGCC
rnacentral:rRNA from 1 species